AGAUCCUGGCAGUUUUCAGGUUUGCUCUCCUCAUUUUGGCCUACGCUGUUUGUAAACUGCGUCACUGGUGGGCCGUCGCUAUCACAACCACAGUCAGCUGUGCCUUCCUCAUUGUCAAAGUCAUUUUAUCAAAGGUAAGAGGGAAGUCUAAGUCACUGCUCCCCCUGCUGGCCAUCCAUAGAACCAGCUUCCAGCAGUUGUAGUUGGACUUGUCGGUUCUGAAUCAACAUCUACUUUUUAUUUACUUUUUUGUCGUUCUCACCUUAGAGAGUAAGAAUUAUAAUUUCUAAAAGUUAUCUAAAAGGUUGCUACAAGAUCGAUUAAAUAAAGAUAUAAAGACGAACCACUAAAAAAGGC